rnacentral:lncRNA from 1 species
UUGACAAGUUAGCACAAAGGAGAGGCUAAACAUGUGGGGAUUAAGCAAAGUUUUUUGUUUUUUUUUUUCUGGAAAGAUAAGGAAUCAAAUCUCCCUUUGCUCUUGUUCUCUUUGCUUUAACAGAAAAGAACCAAGGAGGAUAUUCAUCUUCUUUGAAAUUUAUUAGGAUUGAUUUUUUCUUUUGCUAUAGUUUCAACUGGUUUCUAGUUUAGAUCUAAUUGUCCUUUUUUUUGUAGGUUUUUC